UGGCGGCGUGCCUAACACAUGCAAGUCGAACGGGAAUCUUCGGAUUCUAGUGGCGGACGGGUGAGUAACGCGUAAGAAUCUAACUUCAGGACGGGGACAACAGUUGGAAACGACUGCUAAUACCCGAUGUGCCGCAAGGUGAAAACUAAUUGGCCUGAAGAAGAGCUUGCGUCUGAUUAGCUAGUUGGUGGGGUAAGAGCCUACCAAGGCGACGAUCAGUAGCUGGUCUGAGAGGAUGAGCAGCCACACUGGGACUGAGACACGGCCCAGACUCCUACGGGAGGCAGCAGUGGGGAAUUUUCCGCAAUGGGCGAAAGCCUGACGGAGCAACGCCGCGUGAGGGAGGAAGGUCUUUGGAUUGUAAACCUCUUUUCUCAAGGAAGAAGUUCUGACGGUACUUGAGGAAUCAGCCUCGGCUAACUCCGUGCCAGCAGCCGCGGUAAUACGGGGGAGGCAAGCGUUAUCCGGAAUUAUUGGGCGUAAAGCGUCCGCAGGUGGUCAGCCAAGUCUGCCGUCAAAUCAGGUUGCUUAACGACCUAAAGGCGGUGGAAACUGGCAGACUAGAGAGCAGUAGGGGUAGCAGAAAUUCCCAGUGUAGCGGUGAAAUGCGUAGAGAUUGGGAAGAACAUCGGUGGCGAAAGCGUGCUACUGGGCUGUAUCUGACACUCAGGGACGAAAGCUAGGGGAGCGAAAGGGAUUAGAUACCCCUGUAGUCCUAGCCGUAAACGAUGGAUACUAGGCGUGGCUUGUAUCGACCCGAGCCGUGCCGAAGCUAACGCG
rnacentral:rRNA from 1 species